GUGGGUAUAGCUCAGUGGUAGAGUGCGUGCUUAGCAUGCACAAGGUCCUGGGUUUAAUCCCCAGUACCUCCA
rnacentral:tRNA from 1 species